rnacentral:rRNA from 1 species
UACGGGGGGGGCAAGCGUUGUUCGGAAUUACUGGGCGUAAAGGGCGCGUAGGCGGUUCGCUAAGUUGAAUGUGAAAACUCUGGGCUUAACCCAGAGCCUGCAUUCAAUACUGGCGGGCUAGAGUUCUGGAGGGGAUAGCGGAAUUCCUGGUGUAGCGGUGAAAUGCGUAGAUAUCAGGAGGAACACCGGUGGCGAAGGCGGCUAUCUGGACAGAGUCUGACGCUGAGGCGCGAAAGCGUGGGGAGCAAACGGG